UACGUAGGGUGCGAGCGUUAAUCGGAAUUACUGGGCGUAAAGUGUGCGCAGGCGGCAGAGCAAGUCGAGUGUGAAAGCCCCGGGCUUAACUUGGGAAUUGCGAUGGAGACUGCAAGGCUAGAAUCUGGCAGAGGGGGGUAGAAUUCCACGUGUAGCAGUGAAAUGCGUAGAGAUGUGGAGGAACACCGAUGGCGAAGGCAGCCCCCUGGGUCAAGAUUGACGCUCAUGCACGAAAGCGUGGGGAGCAGACAGG
rnacentral:rRNA from 1 species